rnacentral:rRNA from 1 species
UUUGGUGAAGUUACAAAGAGCGUGCGGUGGAUGCCUUGGCAUAAGUAGUCGAAGAAGGACGCGGUUACCUGCGAUAAGCGUCGGUUAGGUGGAAGCAACCUAUGAACCGGCGAUGUCCGAAUGGGGCAACCCUUCGCCAGUAAUGUGGCGAAACUCCGAACUGAAUACAUAGGUUCGGCAGAGAUAACUGGGAGAAGUGAAACAUCUCAGUAACCCAAGGAAAAGAAAGAAAAUCAAUUUCCUUAGUAGCGGCGAGCGAAACGGAAAGAGCCCAAACCAUUCAAUACAUUAAAGGAUACGACCGUUGUAUUGUUGGUGUUGCGGGAUCUUUAGAGUGUUUCGUAAGACACUCACAGAGUUACAAAAUAAUUUUAUAGCUGAAGUUUCUGGAAAGUAAUACCAUAGAAGGUGAUAGUCCUGUAAGCAAAAUAAAAUUAUCUCUGAAAGAUAUCCCAAGUACUGCGGAGUAAGUGAAAUUCUGCAGGAAUCUCGGAGAACCAUCUCCUAAGGCUAAAUACUUACUUAUGACCGAUAGUGAACUAGUACCGUGAGGGAAAGGUGAAAAGAACUCCUAACAGGAGAAUGAAAUAGAACCUGAAACCGCAUGCUUACAAACGGUCGGAGUCUCAACGCAAGUUGGGAUGACGGCGUGCCUUUUGUUUAAUGAGCCUACGAGUUACUCGUAUGUUGCAAGGAUAAUUCGCUAAGCGAAGAAUCCGUAGCGAAAGCAAGUCCGAAAUGGGCGACUUAGUAACAUGCGGUAGACGCGAACCCGGGUGAUCUACACUUGGUCAGGAUGAAGUGAGGGUAACACCUCAUGGAGGUCCGAACUGUUGAGGGUUGAAAACCUCUCGGAUGAACUGAGUGUAGGAGCGAAAGACCAAUCAAACUCGGAGAUAGCUCGUACUCCCCGAAAUAGCUCUAGGGCUAGCCUCAUUUAAAAGUAUCGCGCAGGUAGAGCACUGAUUGGGCUAGGGUCGUCACAACGAUACCAAACCCAGACAAACUCCGAAUGGCGUAGAUAUGUUCAAUGGGAGUCAGGCGACGAGGGAUAAGCUUCGUCGCCGAGAGGGAAACAACCCAGACCCACAGCUAAGGUCCCCAAAUUAAUAUUAACAGAGAAAGGAUGUUAAGUUGCUUAGACAACUAGGAUGUUUGCUUAGAAGCAGCAAUCAUUUAAAGAGUGCGUAAUAGCUCACUAGUCAAGCGACUUUGCGCCGACAAUUCUCGGGACUCAAACAUUAUACCGAAGCUUGGGACACCAACAGCAAUGUUGGUCGUGGUAGGGGAGCAUUCCAUUCUGCAUCGAAGGUGAUUCGCAAGGAUUGCUGGAGCGGAUGGAAACGCAAAUGUAGGCAUAAGUAACGAUAAGAAAAGUGAAAAACUUUUCCACCGAAAAUCUAAGGUUUCCUGAGCAACGUUAAUCGGCUCAGGGUUAGUCGAACCCUAAGGUGAGGCCGAAAGGCGUAACCGAUGGAAAACAGGUUUAAUAUUCCUGUACCUGCUUGCAAUCGUUUGAUCAUAAGGGGUGACGCAGAAGUGAAGUCGGGCCAUCUGUUGGUUUAGAUGGUUUAACCGCGUAGGAAGAUCGUGUAGGCAAAUCCGCAUGGUCGUUAAUUCCGAGACGGGAAUAGGGUGCUCGCAAGGGCCACAACUCGACGUAAUCAGGCUGCCAAGAAAAACCUCGUAUGAGAGAUUGUAGACAGAUCGUACCGUAAACCGACACAGGUAGAUGGGAUGAAAAUUCUAAGGUGCUCGAGUGAGCCAUGGUUAAGGAACUCGGCAAACUGACCUCGUAACUUCGGGAUAAGAGGUGUCUCUUUUGGUGAAGGCGAAACGCUGGAAGCUGAAAGAGAUCGCAGUGAAACGGGCUAAGCGACUGUUUAACAAAAACACAUGUCUCUGCUAAGACUUUAUGUCGAAGUAUAGGGACUGACACCUGCCCGGUGCUGGAAGGUUAAGGAAGGAGGUAAGCCGCAAGGCAAAGCUUCUAACCGAAGCCCCAGUAAACGGCGGCCGUAACUAUAACGGUCCUAAGGUAGCGAAAUUCCUUGUCGGGUAAGUUCCGACCUGCACGAAUGGUGUAACGACUUAGUCACUGUCUCAACCAUGGGCUCGGUGAAAUUGUGGUACCGGUGAAGACGCCGGUUACCCGCAUAUGGACGGAAAGACCCUAUGCACCUUUACUGCACCCUACUAUUGGGUUCCGAUAACGCAUGUGUAGCAUAGGUGGGAGACUACGAUCCUCAGCCGCCAGGUUGGGGGGAGUCGUCAGUGAAAUACCACCCUUGUGUUAUUAGAAUUCUAACCUCGCGCCGUAAUCCGGCGUAGGAACAGUGGUAGGCGGGUAGUUUGACUGGGGCGGUCGCCUCCUAAAAUGUAACGGAGGCUCUCAAAGGUUCCCUCAGUACGGUUGGUAAUCGUACGGCGAGUGUAAAAGCACAAGGGAGCUUAACUGCGAGACUGACACGUCAAGCAGAUACGAAAGUAGGAUUUAGUGAUCCGGUGGUCGCGAGUGGAAGCGCCAUCGCUCAAAGGAUAAAAGGUACGCUAGGGAUAACAGGCUGAUCUUGCCCAAGAGUUCAUAUCGACGGCAAGGUUUGGCACCUCGAUGUCGGUUCAUCGCAUCCUGGGGCUGAAGAAGGUCCCAAGGGUUUGGCUGUUCGCCAAUUAAAGCGGUACGUGAACUGGGUUCAGAACGUCGUGAGACAGUUCGGUCCCUAUCCUAUGCGGGCGGAGGAAACUUGAGGAGAGUCGUUCUUAGUACGAGAGGACCGGAAUGACCGGACCGACGGUGUAUCUGUUGUCACGCCAGUGGCAUCGCAGAGUAGCCAUGUCCGGAAGAGAUAAGCACUGAAAGCAUCUAAGUGCGAAACUCACUCCAAGAUUAGGUUUCCCUUUCUGAGUGAUCAGAACUAAAGAUUCCAAGGAGAUUACUUGGUUGAUAGGCUACAGAUCUAAAUUCAGUAAUGAAUGAGUCGAGUAGUACUAAUUCAUCGUGAGGCUUCGCCAA